rnacentral:rRNA from 1 species
GACGUAGGGCGCGAGCGUUGUCCGGAUUUAUUGGGCGUAAAGAGCUCGUAGGCGGCUUGUCGCGUCGUCCGUGAAAACCUGCGGCUCAACUGCAGGCUGGCGGUCGAUACGGGCAGGCUGGAGUUCGGUAGGGGAGACUGGAAUUCCUGGUGUAGCGGUGAAAUGCGUAGAUAUCAGGAGGAACACCGGUGGCGAAGGCGGCUAUCUGGACAGAGUCUGACGCUGAGGCGCGAAAGCUAGGGGAGCAAACAGG